CACACCGCCCGUCACACCAUGGGAGUUGGUUCUACCUGAAGGCAGUGCGCUAACCGCAAGGGAGGCAGCCGGCCACGGUAGGGUCAGCGACUGGGUG
rnacentral:rRNA from 1 species